GAGAGAAAGAAGUGGAGUAUUUUUUUAAGGGGCUCUUGUGGCUGGGGAAGUUCCAGUCAGUCCAAAUUAGAUGAGUUUCUAGGUGUCUGCCUGGGUAUCCACCAGGAAAAUGCUGUUUCUGCCUUUAGACCCUUCCCUUCCAUCCAUCUCUGCACUCCUGGUGGUCUGUCCUCACCCACUCUCUGUGAUUUUCCUUCUCCCAGGCCUCCUCUUCCCAAGAUUCCUGAUCCUUUCUCUGCACUACUUUGCUCACCACUCCCUCCCUGCCACCCCCAGGAGGGAAACUCCUCUGCUCUGAAAGCAGGAACUGGCACUGGAGGCAAGCAGCACUGAGCAACCCAAGGGAUGUGGGAGAGGGCCAGCUGGAGGCUGCCAUGGCAACAGCUGGAUCUCCUUCAUCCCUCUCACCCUGCUUCCCUGCUGAUUACACUGAAACAACAGAAAAAAUAACAGUUGCUGGGAAUCAAAGAACCCUCUUCCUCCACGAAAUCACCUGGCCUCUUUCCACGCUUCCCAAAGCAAAUCUCUGGCAUCCUUGCUGCUGGUACAACAAUCUUGUGACUCUUCCUUGUACAUGGCAAGCAAAAAAGGGUUUGGUUUGCUUGCCCUUGAUGGGAAGACCUUUCUGUGCGCUUCUCCUGUGAUCUUUGAGCUCAGUGACAGAGCUGGGGCCAAAAAAAUAUCUCUGGAGGUGACUAUGACUCUUUGGGGGCUGUUCCAUGAGAAGAAUCCCCUGGGAGGAUCCAGGGUUUGGACCCAGAAGAGGUUUUGGUGGUGCUGCUUCUCCUGUGACAGCUCAGAGGAGAAGCAAGCCCAGCUCUUUGUCACAGGUCAUCAAUUCUCAGAACCUUACCUGUGCCCACAGACAUGUUCAAAUCUACCUGGUAUCACCCAGCACAGGGAUGUUGUGAGGUUUCUCUAAUGUUUAUCAAGUGUUUGAAGAAGAUCUUAUGAAGGUGGAGUGCAGUACCAGGAGCUCCUAACAGUCUUGACGAAAUCCUUCCUUGGAGCAACGUAGGAAAAUUCAAAUUAGAGCCAUGGCAAACAUUUUUAACAGCAAAAAUUAAUUAACUGCUACAGCAGCUUCCCAAGAGAAGUGGUAGAUUUUCCAUUGCUCAAAAUGUCUGUCUGAGCUGCCUGUGGUUUGAAAGACAGGUCCUAGCCCAGCUUCAAGUUAUUUAGCUCCAUGCAGGAGCCACUGGAUGAUGCAGACUAUAGAUGUGAUGGCCCUGUGGACAUAUAAAAGUCUUAUCAUUGUAUUUAUUUGACUUCACUCUUUUUCCCCUUAUUUUACCUGCUGUUAUACCAACAGUGCACAAUCCUGUUUCAAUUUACACAUAAACCUCAGACAAGAAACAGAGAAGUGGUUUGGAAAACCAGGCUCCUUCGCAUGUUUAUGAAGUUGGAAAGAACACAUCAAAAUUGGUUUGAUUCCACCUUCCACUUCUGCCUCCCUGUGACAUCUGUGGGGAAUUUUGUACAGAAAAUAUGGCUUUGGCCAUGGAUAGCAUGCAAGGAUCAACAGUUCCAGGUGUUUGGGCAUGUUUGGCCGUGAUGUCCUUGUGCAGGAAGUCAAUGGACCUGGUGACAAGAGUGUCUU
rnacentral:lncRNA from 1 species